CCUUUGUCCUGGACAGUUCAACUUGUGCCUUGAACAGGAUGAAUCACAGAAUCAUAUAGAAUCAUAGAAUGGCCUGGGAUGAAAAGGACCACAAUGAUCAUCUAGUUUCAACCCCCCUGCUAUGUGCAGGGUCGCCAACCACUAGACCAGGCUGCCCAGAGCCACACCCAGCCUGGCCUUGAAUGUCUCCAGGGAUGGGGCAUCCACAACCUCCUUGGGAAACCUGUUCCAGUGUGUCACCACCCUCUGGGUGAAAAACUUCCUCCUAAUAUCUAACCUAAACCUCCCCUGAAACAUGGAGACUGGGAUCUUUAAUAUCUUUGGAAGAGUGCCAUCCUAGUAAUCCAUCCAUACUGUGAAGUUUUUUGGGGGGUCCUUUUGAAUGUGCUCCUUUUGCAUUUGUCUUUGCUAAAAAUACAACUUGGAGCAGACUAUAAAUGAGCAAAUCUUACAGCCACCUACAGAGCCAUCUAGGCUUUCCUGAGAAUUAACAGAAAGAGAUGGAAGAUCCCAUCCUGACUAAUUCUCUCCAUUUCUCCUAGGAAAGGAUGAAUUACUCUCAAGAGAUGCUUUCUUUAUCUCUGUGUCUUGGCAGAUACACCUAGGGGACAGUUUAGAUCUGUCUUGCUUCCAGGCUGCAAACACUCCAGGCAGGAGAGGAUUGAAUGCUGUGAGAAGCACCAUACCUCUGUUACAGGGACAGCCAACAGGAGCCCUGAUGUUCAAAAGAGCUGAGUCCACCUACAGGGCACUUUCAUUCCUUCGCCCUGUUGAAAAUCUCACUAUCUGCGUGCAUUGUCUAUCACUGUGUGACAUUGCUGAUCGAUCCUGCCUCUCUCGCCGACAUGAGGAUAAGGAAGCGUUUGUGUCCGUAGAGAUGGACAUUCAAUCACGCAUGAUUCAGAUGACCUUGGAAGUGUCACCUUAAGAAAACAAAUAAAUUACUCGUUGCCUAUCACAGAGGAUCUAGAGCCCCUCUGGAGAUGCUGACUGCUGGCAUUUCAAUGAGAAUUGAGGGCACUCAGAAUUAGUUAAUACUUUAUAGAAUUUACCUUGUGGGUCUUGAUAGAAAGCCUGUUAAAGUCAAUGGAAGGACUAAGCUUGUUCAGUGGACUCUUGAUCAGUUUGCUAGAGAGGAAUCCAUACAUACCUGGCAAAGGAACCAUGACAAAGAAAUGUCCUAUCUCUGACAGCCUCGUGUGUGAUGAUUUCUCUAUAUACAGUUGAAAACAAGGCCUGUAAAGGAACUACCCAUCCUAACCAUGUCUCUUGACUGAGACAUGCCUUUUUCUGCAUAUCUUUAGGUACCACACUUUAUGUUAGAAUUAACCUACACCUGGUGCUUCUGUGCCAGUCACCGUGCGUGGAAAUUUGAUAGGAUUUGAUGCUGACUAGUGGUGUGAACUGAGCCCAUGUUAUCUCUUUCUGGGAUCAAGAAGAAUUAAGUACCAUCCAGGUUGUGCUUACUGCGCUGCAGCCGGAAAUCAACACCCACACAUACUGGGGAAGAAUGAG
ensembl:lncRNA